AUUGAACGCUGGCGGCAUGCCUUACACAUGCAAGUCGAACGGCAGCACGGGGCAACCUGGUGGCGAGUGGCGAACGGGUGAGUAAUGCAUCGGAACGUGCCAUUGAGUGGGGGAUAACGUAGCGAAAGUUGCGCUAAUACCGCAUAUUCUGUGAGCAGGAAAGCAGGGGACCGCAAGGCCUUGCGCUCUUUGAGCGGCCGAUGUCAGAUUAGCUAGUUGGUGAGGUAACGGCUUACCAAGGCGACGAUCUGUAGCGGGUCUGAGAGGAUGAUCCGCCACACUGGAACUGAGACACGGUCCAGACUCCUACGGGAGGCAGCAGUGGGGAAUUUUGGACAAUGGGCGCAAGCCUGAUCCAGCCAUGCCGCGUGAAUGAAGAAGGCCUUCGGUUGUAAAGCUCUGUCGAAUGGGAGAAAACUAGUGACGAACAGAAUUGACGGUACCAUUAGAGGAAGCACCGGCGUAACCUACCGUGCCAGCAGCCGCGG
rnacentral:rRNA from 1 species